rnacentral:tRNA from 1 species
GUCUAAUUAGCAAAAAAGUGCAUGCAAUUUAGGUUUGUAGUAUUAAUUUAGACU